CCUACGGGUGGCAGCAGUGAGGAAUAUUGGUCAAUGGACGAGAGUCUGAACCAGCCAAGUAGCGUGAAGGAUGACUGCCCUAUGGGUUGUAAACUUCUUUUAUAUGGGAAUAAAAUGUUCCACGUGUGGGAUUUUGUAUGUACCAUAUGAAUAAGGAUCGGCUAACUCCGUGCCAGCAGCCGCGGUAAUACGGAGGAUCCGAGCGUUAUCCGGAUUUAUUGGGUUUAAAGGGUGCGCAGGCGGUCUGUUAAGUCAGCGGUCAAAGCCCGGGGCUCAACCCCGGCCCGCCGUUGAAACUGGCAGUCUCGAGUUGGAGAGAAGUAUGCGGAAUGCGCGGUGUAGCGGUGAAAUGCAUAGAUAUCGCGCAGAACUCCGAUUGCGAAGGCAGCAUGCCGGCUCCACACUGACGCUGAGGCACGAAAGCGUGGGUAUCGAACAGGAUUAGAUACCCCAGUAGUC
rnacentral:rRNA from 1 species